CAGCCGCCACGGUAACACGGAGGGAGCUAGCGUUGUUCGGAAUUACUGGGCGUAAAGCGCGCGUAGGCGGUUACUCAAGUCAGAGGUGAAAGCCCGGGGCUCAACCCCGGAACUGCCUUUGAAACUAGGUGACUAGAAUCUUGGAGAGGUCAGUGGAAUUCCGAGUGUAGAGGUGAAAUUCGUAGAUAUUCGGAAGAACACCAGUGGCGAAGGCGACUGACUGGACAAGUAUUGACGCUGAGGUGCGAAAGCGUGGGGGGCAAACAGGAUUAGAUACCCCCGUAGUCCCUGUCUCUUAUAC
rnacentral:rRNA from 1 species